AAGUCGUAACAAGGUUUCCGUAGGUGAACCUGCGGAAGGAUCAUUAAAAAAUUAAUGAAUGUCGGGGGGCGUUCAAAGUUAGUUUUCUACUUUCUCUGUCGCUCUCCGUGUAUUCAACCAACCCGCUCUUGCAUUUGGAUCAACCAAAAAAUUAACAAAAAUACUUUAUAUAAUAAAAAUAAACUUUCAACAACGGAUCUCUUGGCUCUC
rnacentral:misc_RNA from 1 species